rnacentral:rRNA from 1 species
GACGAACGCUGGCGGCGUGCUUAACACAUGCAAGUCGAACGGAAAGGCCCUGCUUUUGUGGGGUGCUCGAGUGGCGAACGGGUGAGUAACACGUGAGUAACCUGCCCUUGACUUUGGGAUAACUUCAGGAACCUGGGGCUAAUACCGGUAAGGAGCUCCUGCUGCAUGGGGGGGGUUGGAAAGUUUCGGCGGUUGGGGAUGGACGCGCGGCUUAUCAGCUUGUUGGUGGGGUAGUGGCUUACCAAGGCUUUGACGGGUAGCCGGCCUGAGAGGGUGACCGGCCACAUUGGGACUGAGAUACGGCCCAGACUCCUACGGGAGGCAGCAGUGGGGAAUAUUGCACAAUGGGCGGAAGCCUGAUGCAGCAACGCCGCGUGCGGGAUGACGGCCUUCGGGUUGUAAACCGCUUUCGCCUGUGACGAAGCGUGAGUGACGGUAAUGGGUAAAGAAGCACCGGCUAACUACGUG